CUUGGUCAUUUAGAGGAAGUAAAAGUCGUAACAAGGUUUCCGUAGGUGAACCUGCGGAAGGAUCAUUACAGAGUUCAUGCCCUCACGGGUAGAUCUCCCACCCUUGAAUACCUAUCUUUGUUGCUUUGGCGGGCCACGUCCGCGUGUUGGCUUCGGCUGGCUGCGCCCGCCAGAGGACCCAAACUCGUUUGUUUAGUGAUGUCUGAGUACUAUAUAAUAGUUAAAACUUUCAACAACGGAUCUCUUGGUUCUGGCAUCGAUGAAGAACGCAGCGAAAUGCGAUAAGUAAUGUGAAUUGCAGAAUUCAGUGAAUCAUCGAAUCUUUGAACGCACAUUGCGCCCCUUGGUAUUCCGAGGGGCAUGCCUGUUCGAGCGUCAUUAUGACCACUCAAGCCUGGCUUGGUGUUGGGGUCCGCGGUCCCGCGGCCCUUAAAAUCAGUGGCGGCGCCAUCUGGCUCUAAGCGUAGUAAUACUCCUCGCUACAGAGUCCCGGUGGAUGCUUGCCAGCAACCCUCAAUCUCACGGUUGACCUCGGAUCAGGUAGGGAUACCCGCUGAACUUAAGCAUAUCAAUAAGCGGAGGAAAAGAAACCAACAGGGAUUGCCUCAGUAACGGCGAGUGAAGCGGCAACAGCUCAAAUUUGAAAUCUGGCUCUUUCAGGGCCCGAGUUGUAAUUUGUAGAAGAUGCUUUGAGCGUGGCUCCGGUCUAAGUUCCUUGGAACAGGACGUCAUAGAGGGUGAGAAUCCCGUAUGUGACUGGGUGCCUUCGUUCGUGUAAAGCUCUUUCGACGAGUCGAGUUGUUUGGGAAUGCAGCUCAAAAUGGGUGGUAAAUUUCAUCUAAAGCUAAAUAUUGGCCAGAGACCGAUAGCGCACAAGUAGAGUGAUCGAAAGAUGAAAAGCACUUUGGAAAGAGAGUUAAACAGUACGUGAAAUUGUUGAAAGGGAAGCGCUUGCAACCAGACUUGCACGCUGUUGAUCAUCCGAGGUUUUCCCCGGUGCACUCGGCAGUGUUCAGGCCAGCAUCGGUUUUGGUGGGCGGAUAAAGGCCUUGGGAAUGUAGCUUCUUUCGGGGAGUGUUAUAGCCCUCGGUGCAAUGCGCCCUACCGGGACCUAGGACCGCGCUUCGGCUAGGAUGCUGGCGUAAUGGUUGUAAGCGACCCGUCUUGAAACACGGACC
rnacentral:rRNA from 1 species